UGUGGCGUUUCUCAUUGGCUGGGGUGUUGCCAGGUGGGGAGAGAACUCUUCCUUCGGUGGUAAAGUAGUUGUACUUCCACUGAGAGAUGUAAACCACGGUCUCUUCCCAUUUGCAGUAAAAUUGAUGUUGUUUGACAGGCUUCAGAGCUCCCCCUACAGGCCGUCCUGACUCCGUUUUCAUUGAGGUUUCUUAUACAUUUCACACUUGGUAAAUAACCUUCUCACAGAGUCAAAUCGGGUGGGCUUUGUCUGCUGGGAAGACCCUAAAUGUCAACUCUGCCUCAGGAGUGGCAAGAAGAGCAGAGGGAGAGAGACUUGGCAGAGAGACUCUGGAGCUGAUGGACAGAGGCUGGCAGAGCGGCCGCUACAGAACAGUGACCGGCCACAUCCACCCAAACAGCCUGAGUGGUGGUCUUGAGCCUUGAAGUUAGUCAUGGAUCCCGGGCUGCAGGAGGCGGAGAGAAGCCACAGGAGAACCUGGAGCGGAUGAAAUCCAGGGGAGCCAGCAUGGAGCAGCCGCAGAACAAUGACCCCAAGUCUUGAGGCCACUAACAGGGCUGCGUCCAGCACAACAGGCAGUUUUGGCGAUAUGUGACUUCAGUGCUCUCUGCAGGGGCCCCAGACCCUCUAUCACUCCAAGCUUAGCCUGCCCCCUGCCCCUCAAAACCCUUAAGUUCUGGGCACCAUCACUUCUGCUCCACUCUUCGAGGCUCCACGAGGCUCCUGGUAGUUGAGUGAUGGGAAGAGAAACCCCAGGGGGACAAAGCGACUUCCGAAGCUAACUUUAUUACCCAUGUUGGCUGGUGAGGAGUUUGUGGCUGCAAAGGAAACAAGUUGUCCAUGAGCAGAGAUGCUGUUCCGGCCUUCAGUUGCUGGUCACGGCCCUGACUCUCUUCCCAAAAGUGAAUUUAACACUGUAACAAUAAAUACUACUGCACAGCGCUUUA